CCCCUCGUAUAAGGCCCAUUUUGCCUGGCUUGUAGACAUGGAAACCUACAGGUGUACCAGUACUGUGCUUCAUUCUUCAUACAAAAGGAGAACAUUUAAUUUGAAAAUCAGAACUCUGAUACUUUCUCACAUGGAAAUUAAAACGCAAGAAUUCUCAGCCUCUUCUUUCUCUACAUAAAAACAUUUUCAUCAUGCAUGAUCCAUUUGAUCGUUCUUCCAUCCUUUACCAAAAUGCAUUUCACAAAAAGCUUCGGAUCUUUCCACUGACUUCAUUUAAAUGGUCGAUUUUCACGGUAUACCCAGGAGGCUGAAUUUGCAACCACAUGUGAUGUACUGUCGAGACAAUUGAAUGUAGAGGGCAACGUUUAUGCAGCAUGUCUGUCUACCCCAUGCAUGUACUCAAAUCUCAUCCAAUGUGCGACUACAGAAGACAUGAGAGUAGAUUCCCAGCCAGUUCCGAGUCCAAAUGUUGUGGCAGCAAUUGAAACAAAAGGAUCUGAACUGGGUGGUGCACAAUUCACAUUAGGCACAUUAAGGAUUUGAUGUUGUUGCAAAGCCUCCUCAUUUAUGAGUGAAUUGAGGAACGAAAACACAUCGUCGGUGCCGGAAUUGAUAUCUUGAUCAGCUUCUCCAAUACCAAGACUUUGAUCGCCUUUCAAAUCCAUCCCAGAAGUACCAUCAUAAUUCAGCAAACUUGUAUAGCCAUGACUUGCAAUAAAAUGGUCGGCGUGAUACUGAUCAUCGAGGUGGGCAUUAAUGUUGUUUUGAAAAUACUCAUUCUCUCUGUUGAUUAUGCGAGUACUGCCACUAGUAGCUUCUUCCAAACCAGAAGAAACAAUAUUCUUAAUAGGUUCUUUUAGGCGUGCUUGGUGCAGAUUCGCCUUCGACAAAGAAGGUUUUGAUUGAUCAAAAGAUUGAGGAUUGAGAGGCUUAUGGGUUCUUGGAUCAAUUCCCUGGCUUAUCAGCUUCUUACUCAGGUGCGUGUUCCAGUAAUUCUUUAUUUCAUUAUCUGUACGCCCUGGAAUUCUCCCAGCUAUCAAUGACCACCUAAAGAAACAACCCAUUGACCAAAUCAACACAAGUAGCUAGUCCAAGCUAAGAUCUAGCUAAAAUUUGUUCAAAGUAAAGUGAUAUACAUUUCCUUUCUAGCUCAAAUCUUGAACGAAGAAGAAGGUGAAAUUUAAGAACACAGAUCGUUUACAAGAUUCAAGCACAUGAUUCAUUGAAAACCAGAUUCAUGCAGGUUUCGAGCUAAACUAGCUAUAAAAUAAUUGAAGAGAGAGCUCACGUAAAUUAUACAUGGAUCAAAACCAGCUCGAAUGUUAAUUGACCAAACUCUAAUAAGAACAAAAAAAAAGUGAAGGAAAUCUCUUUCACGAGCAAUCCACAACAUAUAUACAGUGAAACCCUAAAACUAGCUAGCUAUACUAACUAAACCAAAAAAACAAAACCCUAAAAGAAAGAGACCCAAUUCAGAAAAAAGGAAUUUAAGACAAACCCAGAAAAAGAUUGUAUUAAAAAAAGACUAAAAACAAAAUUAACCGAUACAAAUAUUUGUAUUUGUCUUAAUUCCUGUGUGGGAUAUAUAGUAUAUGUAAUUACCUAUUGCCUAGGAGUCGAUGGAGGCGGAGAAUGAGAUCUUCUUCAUCAUCGGCGAUCUGGCCACGUUUAACAGAAGGGCGGAGGUAGUUCAUCCAGCGGAGACGGCAGCUCUUGCCACAGCGGAGGAGACCGGCUUUCUUGGGUAAAGUUCGCCACCGACCUUCACCUUCUUUCUUGAUAUAGUUAACAAGGAGUUCAUCUUCUUCUGGUGUCCACGGUCCUCUCUUUAACCCUACCUUGAUGCAGCAUGGGGUGGUCUUUGCUGCUGAUUCUGCUGUUGUAGCUGAAGUUGGCUUUCUCAUCUUGAUUAAUAAUGUAUUGGAAGUAUACUCGAUAUAUCGAUGGGUUCAACUAAGCUUUAGCUUACCUACCUUUUUCUUGUUUUCUUUCUAUAUUUGUUUUUUGAGUUGUAGUAAUAUCUAGGAUGUUGUAUAUGUGUAUAUGUAGAAUGUCGUGUGAUGAUGAUAUGAUGAGCUUGAGGUUUGAUGGAUAGAAAGGAGGAGGAUGAGGGUAGGGUAGGUUAGGGGACUCUUCUCUCUUCUUCUUCUUCUUCUUCUUCUUUUUUUUUUUUUUUUUUUUGUGUUGAGAGUAAUUUCUUCUUGGGAUCAGACGGUGUGAGGUUUGUUGGGUUUAAUGUGGAAUAGGAAAGAUACUGAUAAAUAGGCAAUCGCCUUACAAGGGGAGUGCAUGUGACGACACCCUAAUAUUCAUCCAUCUAUAGAAUUAUCAUUCAUUUGAUA